CCUACGGAGGCUGCAGUGGGGAAUAUUGGACAAUGGGGGCAACCCUGAUCCAGCCAUGCCGCGUGUGUGAAGAAGGCCCUCGGGUUGUAAAGCACUUUCAGUGAGGAAGAACGCCUGGUGGUUAAUACCCAUCAGGAAAGACAUCACUCACAGAAGAAGCACCGGCUAACUCCGUGCCAGCAGCCGCGGUAAUACGGAGGGUGCGAGCGUUAAUCGGAAUUACUGGGCGUAAAGCGCGCGUAGGUGGCUUGAUAAGCCGGUUGUGAAAGCCCCGGGCUCAACCUGGGAACGGCAUCCGGAACUGUCAAGCUUGAGUGCAGGAGAGGAAGGUAGAAUUCCCGGUGUAGCGGUGAAAUGCGUAGAGAUCGGGAGGAAUACCAGUGGCGAAGGCGGCCUUCUGGACUGACACUGACACUGAGGUGCGAAAGCGUGGGUAGCAAACAGGAUUAGAUACCCCGGUAGUC
rnacentral:rRNA from 1 species